AACGACUGCAGGCAUACCUGGACAGGUUGGAUAAGUGGGCAGAACACAAUAGGAUGCAUUCAACAAGUACAAGUGCAAGGUUCUGCACCUAGGGAG